rnacentral:rRNA from 1 species
UACGAGUGCCCCCUAGCGUUAUCCGGAUUUAUUGGGCGUAAAGCGUCCGCAGGCGGUCUGUAACAUCUUUUGUUAAAUCACAAGGCUUAACCUUAUGACUGCGAGAGAUAUGGACAGACUAGAGACUGGGAGAGGUAAGCGGAAUUGCUGGUGUAGGGGUUAAAUCCGUUAAUAUCAGCAGGAACACCAAAUGCGAAGGCAGCUUACUGGAACAGUUCUGACGCUCAUGGACGAAAGCGUGGGUAGCGAAU